rnacentral:rRNA from 1 species
CACGUAAGGGACGAGCGUUGUCCGGAUUCAUUGGGCGUAAAGCGCGCGUAGGCGGCUCGGAAAGUCGGUCGUGAAAUGCCGGGGCUCAACCCCGGGACUGCGUCCGAUACUCCCGAGCUGGAGGCAGGUAGGGGAGAUCGGAAUUCCUGGUGUAGCGGUGAAAUGCGUAGAUAUCUGGAGGAACACCGGUGGCGAAGGCGGCGUUCUGGACUGCAACUGACACUGAGGAACGAAAGCCAGGGGAGCAAACGGG